rnacentral:miRNA from 1 species
UGAGGCAGGAGAAUCACUUGAACCCAGGAGGCGGAGGUUGCAGUGAGCCCAGAUUGCACCACUGCACUCCAGCCUGGGCAACAGAGACUCCGUCUCAAAAAAAAAAAAA